rnacentral:rRNA from 1 species
UGGCUACAGAACGACGCUGGCGGCAUGCCUAACACAUGCAAGUCGAACGAAGGCUUCGGCCUUAGUGGCGCACGGGUGCGUAACGCGUGGGAAUCUGCCCUUGGGUUCGGAAUAACUCAGAGAAAUUUGAGCUAAUACCGGAUGAUGACGUAAGUCCAAAGAUUUAUCGCCCAAGGAUGAGCCCGCGUAAGAUUAGCUAGUUGGUGGGGUAAAGGCCUACCAAGGCGACGAUCUUUAGCUGGUCUGAGAGGAUGAUCAGCCACACUGGGACUGAGACACGGCCCAAACUCCUACGGGAGGCAGCAGUGGGGAAUAUUGGACAAUGGGCGCAAGCCUGAUCCAGCCAUGCCGCGUGAGUGAUGAAGGCCUUAGGGUUGUAAAGCUCUUUUAGCAGGGACGAUAAUGACGGUACCUGCAGAAAAAGCCCCGGCCAACUUCGUG